UGCCAUGUAAUUGUAUGGUUUUGAGGGAUUUUCAUUGUGUUGACUUCUGUUUUUAUUCUACUCUGUGCCUUUUAACUGGGGCAUUUAGCCUGUUUAUAUUCAAGAUUAAUAUUGGUAAUGUGUGAAUUUGAUCUUGUCAUUGUGCUGUUAGCUGAUUAUUGUGUUGGCUUGUUUGUGUGGUUGCUUUACAAUGACACUGUUGUGCGUGUUUAAGUGUGUUUUUGAUUAGCUGGUAGCAGUCUUUCCUUUCUGUAUUUAGUGCUCCUCUCAAGAUAUUUUGUAAGGCAGGUCUGGUGGUAAUAAAGUCCCUUAACAUUUGCUUAUCUGAAAAGGAUCUUAUUUCUCCUUCACUUAGGAAUCUUAGUUUGGGUGGAUGCAAAAUUCUUGGUUGAAGAUUUUUUUCUUUAAGAAUGUUGAAUAUAGGUUCCCAAUCCCUCCUGGCUGGUCGUGAUACUCUCAAAGGGAAGUGAACUAACCUUCAAAGUAUACCUGGAAUGUAACCAAAACUAUUAAUACAAAUAGAAGCAUAAAAUUCAUCCUCUCAUUUAAUACAACAAUGGGUGCCUCAGUUCCUGCCAUGUAUGGGGGUGUUGCUGGACUGUUUUACAUGAUCACUUCUGACAGUAGAAAUCUGUCAGGUCACCACAUUGUAAAUGCUUUGGAAGCAACAGUCCACGAGGCCAUUUUGAUAAUGAGAGAAAGUAUAAAAUGUGGUGAGGAUUUCCUUUUACUUGGCUUGCUCAUUCCAGAAAUUGACUUGGAUUGAUUACCAUGGAAAGACUCUACUGCAUCUGUGCUCCAGAGGGGCAAAGUGACACAAAGGGACGAGGCUUGUACAGUAAAAUUUUAGCUCCCUUGACGUGAUACAGUCCACGAGGAUCCUAUCUCAAGGGAGUACACUAGAAGUGAUUGCUCAAGGAAAACCCCCAUCUGUUUGUAGAAUCCCGGCUAUGCAUUUUGUCUUUAUGCACCUUGGUUCCAUCAUCUGUGAAAUAAAAAUAAGCCCUACCUUGUUGGAAUGUUACAAAGGCAAUUAGCAACUCAAAAGAAAUUUAGUCAGUGAUUUCCCACUGGUACCCUUCUGUGCACUUAAUAAUAUGUUGGUGACCUGAAAAAUCUUUCUUGAGACCCAUGUUUUUUAUAUGUAGAAUGAGAUUGAGCCAGAUUAUCACUAACUUCCUUCCCAACCCUACCACCAAAUAACAGCACUUCUACCGACAUCCUAGGAGUAAGGCAAUCUUGAAUUUAUAAAAUAUUCUCAGGCUCAGAGAGCCGUUUUAGAAAUCAGCCAUGACACAAGGAAAGGACCUUGAGUUAGGAGAGCUGGACUCAAGUUUCACUUCAGCCACAUUCUUGUCAUCCCUAAGCCUGAAUGUCUUCCUCUACAAAAUUAGGAUAAUAAUUUCCUCCUCUACAGACUUAUUGUACAACACAUAGUCCAUACAUCUGCUUCCUUUUGUCACUGAUGUCCUCUUCCCCAGAGGCAACCACUUACAACUGAAUUUUUAUUUUUUGUGAUAUUUAGCUCCAUAUAUCUAAAUAGCUACCCAUAGUGCCAUUUCUUGACUUCUUAGUUUUAGGCAUUAUAUGACCUACCCAUUAAGGAAGAUGAGAUCUUAGCCAUUUCAUCCCCAUCACUCUACUAGUAGCAAAAGCAUGCACAGUUAUUCAUGUUUCCAUUCUCCCAAAAUAAAUAUAUAUUUUGGCUAGAUCUAUCAUCAGUGCUUAAAUUGAGUACAUAAAUACUGUUCACAGCUGAGCCACAUAGAAUACUAUUAUUUUUUCCUUUCUUGAACAAGCAUUUGUUUUCCCUAGAU
rnacentral:lncRNA from 1 species